rnacentral:piRNA from 1 species
UCUCACAGUUCUGGAGGCCAUAAGUUUGA